CCUUCCUUGCUCCCCCUCUCGCCCUCCCACACCCAGCCUGCCCUUUUGUAAUACCUUCACUGAUGAAGAGACCUGGAGAGCUCGGAAGCUUGCACAUGCUUUUUUUAAAAAAGGCCGCUUUGCCUUGGCCUAAUAAAAGAGAUGAACAAUGACCAUAGUUGACAAGACGUCUGAGUCCUCAAAGCCUUCGGCUUCUGAGAAGCAGCCUUUCAGCUCCGUGGCGCCAGCUUCCGGAGAUAUGGACGCAGGCUCAGGAGGAUGGGGUGCUGUGUCUUCUUCUUUAGAAGCUCCAAAACACAAAAUCUCUUUGGGACCAGUGCCAGGAGCUGCAGUGUACUCCAACUCAUCUGUACCUGAUAAAUCGAAGUCCUCUGUUCAGAAAGAUAUAUCAUCUACUGGUGAUGGUAUUGCGGCACCCCAGAAGGUUCUCUUCCCGGCAGAAAAGAUAUGCUUAAAAUGGCAAAAAAUGCACAGAGUUGGAGCUGGUCUCCAAAAUCUUGGCAACACAUGCUUCCUGAACUCGGCUUUGCAGUGUCUGACCUACACCCCUCCUCUUGCCAACUACAUGCUUUCCCAUGAACACUCCAAAACUUGUCACGAGCAAGGAUUCUGCAUGAUGUGCACCAUGCAAGGCCACAUCACCCAGGCCCUUUCGAACUCCGGCAACGUCAUCAAGCCAAUGCCUGUCAUAAAUGACCUUAGACGGAUAGCAAAACAUUUCCGUUUUGGGAACCAGGAAGAUGCACAUGAAUUCCUACGGUACACUGUUGAUGCUAUGCAGAAAGCAUGUCUGAACGGUGGCAACAAAUUGGACAGACAUACCCAAGCCACUACAUUCAUUCAUCAAAUAUUCGGAGGAUACCUAAGAUCUAGAGUAAAAUGCAUGAACUGCAAAGGAGUUUCAGAUACUUUUGAUCCGUAUCUGGAUGUCACGCUGGAGAUAAAGUCAGCUCAAAGUGUUAAUAAAGCUCUGGAGCAGUUUGUCAAACCCGAACAGUUGGAUGGUGAAAAUGCUUAUAAAUGUAGCAAGUGUAAAAAAAUGGUUCCUGCAUCGAAGCGGUUCACAAUACAUCGUGCUUCAAAUGUCCUCACCUUGUCUCUGAAGCGGUUUGCAAAUUUCAGUGGUGGAAAAAUUACAAAGGAGGUGAAAUAUCCUGAAUACUUAGAUGUCCGACCUUAUAUGUCCCAACCAAAUGGCGAGCCAAUUAUUUACGCCUUGUAUGCUGUUCUGGUUCAUACUGGUUUCAACUGUCAUGCAGGACAUUACUACUGCUACAUAAAGGCCAGUAAUGGCCAGUGGUACCAGAUGAACGACUCCACUGUCUCAAACAGUGACAUCAGAACUGUACUGAAUCAGCAAGCUUAUGUGCUUUUUUAUAUCAGGUCCCAUGACAUGAAAAAUGGCAGCGAACACAUCCAUUCUGUACACACUCCAGGGCAGUCUUCUCCCCGGCCUGUUAUUAAUCAACGGGUAGUCAAUAACAAGCAAACUGCACCAGGAUUUAUUGGACCACAGCUCCCUCCCCACAUGAUUAAGAAUUCAAAUCAUUUGAAUGGAACUGGAUCCCUCAAAGAAACUCCCAGCAGCUCUGUGGCGAUGGCAAGCAGCAUCACGCUGAGCAGGCCCUCUUCCGCUCCGCCUGCCACGUCCAUCCCGAACUGGACAAUGAACAGGCCUGCCACCUCGACGACGCCUGACCCUUCCAAGAAGCAAAAAAUCACCAUCAGUAUUCACAACAAACUGCCCGCCCGCCAAAACGCUUCUCUUGCCAGCUGUACUCUGGAUAACCUCAGUAAGCCAGCCCCAUCCUCAACCAUUUCCAACCCUUCUGCAGUGCAAUCUACCUCAAGUGCAUCUACAGUAUCGGCUGCUAACCAGGCCCCCAAACCAACGACUCCGAGCGAAACGUGUUCUAAGCUGGUUGUGAACGGCAAGUCCAAACUCAGCCCAAGCAUGUUGGUCCCUUACGGGGCAGAGUCGUCGGAAGACUCCGAUGAGGAGUCCAAAGGAUUGGUGAAGGAGAAUGGACACUCCAAGCCUUUCAACGGCGUUUUAAUUGAAAAUGCGGCCAGUGCCACAGAGAGCUUCUCUGCAUCCUGUCACAGCAUAGAAAAGGAGGUCCUGCAGCACGAGCUGCCCAAGAACAUAACUGUUGUUGUUUCUAUUAGCCUGAACGAUGCCCCUAAACAGAAUGGACAGCUAUGCAAUGAUUCCACUUGCCAAGCAAAGCCUGUUAAAUUGGCCGAUAACCCAUUUACCAAAGCGAAUGGAUUGCCUGGAAAAGGUACACCUACAGCUUUGCCCCCUGUUCCUGAAGACAGAAUCUUAGACUCGUUCAAAUACAAUCAGCUGAAAACCUCAUCAGGGGAAAGAAUACGUGCUAGCGGAACAGAAAAAGCAUCGGAAGAGGCUGGCUUCUCUGGAGACACCCCUUGUACUCUCGCCAACGACAUCCAGAACCCAUUGGCCUCUUCAGAUGCUGAAAUCUCUUCUACCACAGAAGACCCCUACGAAAGGGUUACUACCGAAACAGAAAGCCCGCCGCUUGAGAGCGAGGGGCAGUAUGGCCCUAAAUCCACUUCCCUGGGAGCAGAAGAACUCCCCAGGGAAAGUGACAUGGAGGACCACAUGGAGAAGACAAGCGGACCAAAAGAGGGGAAGGUUGCUUGGGAGAAAAACCCUGAGCCUGCCAGAGGAGCAGCCGAAGCAGCAGAGAAACGGGCGCAGAGCCCCCUCGCAAAAUCUGACGGUGAAUGUAGCUCUCAAAAGUUUGCCGCUCUGAACACACCGGAGAAAUGCCAGGAGACACAGGACAGUGCGAAAGGCUGUGAGGACGCUGCGCUCGCGGGUCCGAGGCUGGAUGCCAUGGGUGGGAACCCAUGUUCGAAGGAUGACGGGGGCAGCAGCAAACAGUUGCAAGGAAACACAGAAAGGCAAGCACUGAAAUCUCAUUCUCCUCCGAAGGAGAAGGUUUGCGCCUCCAAAAAAGCGGACAAAGAGCACUAUCGUUCCAAAAGGAAGCGCUCCGAAAGCGAAGAGGAGAAGGAGGAGGUGGCCACCCGGAGCCAAGCCGAUGGGCACUACAAGAGGAGGUGCUCCUCCAGCAGGGAAGGUGGGAAGCAGCAAGAGCACUGCCGGCGAGAGCAUUACAAUGCAAACUAUUACAGGUUCCCGUGCAGCCCUGAUCCAGGGAGGAGCUUGGGAAAACACCUCCCUUACCGAUCUCACAGCCGAGGGAGGACGGACCCAGAAAGGAACAGGCACUGCUACGGGAAGGGAGAGCGGUCGUGGAGCCGAGAGCGGUCGUGGAGCCGAGAGCGGUAUUAUCAAGAUCUUCCAAGGAGGUGGGAGGGCUGCAGAUCUUACAGUUACUAUUACCCCUCCCAUGUCCCCAGGUAUAAUCAGGAUAGAAAAUUCCCUCAUUGUGAGAGAGACUACAGCAAAUCAAGUUACGUUUACAGUAGCCCAUAUAAACAUGUUAAUUAUAAAAGCAGAUGGACUCAUGACCAGGAAAGGAAGCGGAGAUGCCCGAGCCCAGAAGACAGCGAGAGUCCCCCCGAAAAGAGAUGCCAAAAGAUCUUGCAAAGUGAACCAUCCGAUGAGCAGAGAGGGCGAAAGCACAAGAAGUCCAAGAAGAAGAAGAAAUUAAAAGAUAAACACAGAGAAAGAGAGUACAGGCAUCGCCAGGAUUCUGACCCAUCGGGGUCCAGUUCUGAGGCUGAGACUCAUAAGCAUAAACAUAAGAAAAAGAAGAAGAAAAAGAAGAAGCGUGCAAAGAAAUCUGAAGACUGUGAUGAGAUUUCAGCUCCUCCCCUUCCAAAGCCAACUAGUUUGGAAACCAAGAAUCUCAAAGUCUGGGAGAUGACCGAAUCUUCUUUGGAAUCAUCUAGGAAACAUGGCAGGAGCCCCCAUGACGGAAACACGGCUCUUUGCCACAAAUCAAAGAGCAUAGACAGUAGCAACAGAGAUGGCCCCUGCCCAUCUACAGACCAUAAUGUAGCUUGUCUAGAGACAAUUCAGAGAGGAAAGCAACCGGCAGUUGCAGCUAAUCCAUCAUCCAAGGUCAUAGAUGGGUCCUGCUCUCCCACCUCUUUCUCUGGAACCACAUGGGGUGGUGACUGACCAUUCAGGGAAUGCAGUAGCAGAACUGGUGAUGGUUCAAGUCUCGAACAGCUAGUAAGGAGAUCCAGAGUUUCUGCUGGAAGCCAUCCCCCCACAGUUUGCAGUAUAUUUAUAAACCGAAAAGCGAUUAACUCUUUAAUUCAUAAUUGGUGCUUCAGAAAUACUGUACAGGAUUUUACCAUGGAAAAACCCUUUUUUUAGUUUUUACCUUGAGACUUUUUUUUUAAAUUAUCUGCAAUCCAAAAAAACAGACAGACAAAAAGGAUGGAAACUUUCUACAACUGCUGAACGUCAGAAAAUUUACCCUGUAAAUGUCACAGUAAGAAUUAAUGCCCUGGAACAGAACAUCUCAAACGCUGCUUAGUUACAGACUCAGGUUGAUUGUGAAGUUGCUCCAAGCCUUACACAUCCGGCGCAAGGAGCAAGGAAACCACAGAAUUAUCAAGCUGCAACUGAUAGUCUCUAUUUAAUUUUUAAAAAUUAUUUAAAAAUGUCACACACAACUAGAAUUUUCGCAAGAGCUUCAUCUGUUUUCUGUGAUGUCUGCUACUAGAAACUCAAUCCAUUGUUUUAUUUUUACUUUUUGUUGGAUUCCAGUCCUUGGACUUUGUGAAAUGUGGCCGUUCAGACUUAUCAGUUUUUGAAUGUAUCUCAGAACACGUCCAACGACCCCUUGCCUUGGUGACUACAUCCCUUGUACGGCUUUUCUGUCUUGGCCCUGGGAGGUCACCACUCAAUUAGCAACUGGCAAUCCAUGGGGUAUUUGACAGGUAGGCUCAUGGUCUCGCCACCCAUGAGCGGUUAGGUUGGUGUGGGGAUGUCUGUCCUCCGCGCUUCUGUCUCCCACUCUGGUCUCUCUUGGCUGGGCUUUCACUUAGCAUCUCUGCCGGCUUCUUUUGCCCGUGCUUGAUUUGACCUUUCUGCAGUUUUCUCCCUGGCUGCUGCUUCCACCCCCUCCUUAUUAUCUAGCUUCUCUUUAACCCUUCUGCAUUCUGCCUCAUUGAUCUGGUUCACAAAUAACAACAACCCUGAGUAGGGAUUAAUCUUGAAUCACGGGUUGUGAUUGUGUGCAAACCCUUCACUGUGGUUUAACUCUUGGUUUUUAACCACAAACAACCCAGCAGGAAGCCAUGGGUUGUCUACCUGGUUGUUCAUGGUCCAUAAUCCACUGUUAAAUCAUAGUGCAGGAUCUGCACAUAAUAGCAACCUAUAAUUCACUGACAAACCAUAUUCAGCCUGUACUUGGACACGUGAAUCGGUUCUCCAUUCCAUUUUCGUCUCUGCUGUUGCUUGCCCCAAACAGCUGCCCCACCGUUCUUUUAAGUUACCUGGGCUGUUCUGCCAUUCUUGAGCUUUUUGUCAGUUGGUGCCCGUGGAUGAUGGUGGCAAGUGGCAGGGCCCGCUGCCAUUUCGCUUCAUCCCAGAAUUGCUCGAAGGAACCAAUCUCCUAUUUCCACUACAUUUUUAUUGCGUUUAUUUUUAAUAUUGUGAUGUUUGUCUUGACGGGUCUGAGUUGUCUAGUUCUUGUCCCUUCUUCAAAGUUUCUAGUUACAGACACAUUUCAUACUGUGAUUUAAUUUUUUUUAAUGAUGAAAUGCUAUCAAACUGUGAUACACUUAAUUCACUGGUCCUGCAUCAGGAGACAGAGUGGGGAAAACUGUAUUAAAUACAGUUAAUCUGAAUAAUCUGUCUGGUUUAUACAAGCUGUGUUGUUCAGAGAUGUCUAAAGUUUGAUCUUUGUUUUUUUAAAGAUAAAAGCACUUGCCCCACUUGUAAAUAAUAUGGCAUGUAAAAUUUAUAUAGUAUAUAAAUACAGCAAGUCAAAACAACA